GAUGAACGCUGGCGGCGUGCUUAACACAUGCGAGUCGAGCGGAGAUGUUUAAAAGCUUGCUUUAAAACAUCUUAGCGGCGGACGGGUGAGUAACGUGUGGGUAAACCUGCCUUAUACUGUGGAAUAAUCACUUAGAAAAGGUGACUAAUACCGCAUGUGGUCUCUGGAGGGCAUCCUCUGGAGAAGAAAGGAUUUAUUCGGUAUAAGAUGGACCCGCAUCUGAUUAGCUAGUUGGUGAGAUAAUAGCCCACCAAGGCAACGAUCAGUAGCCGACCUGAGGGGUGAUCGGCCACAUUGGGACUGAGACACGGCCCAAACUCCUACGGGAGGCAGCAGUGGGGAAUAUUGCACAAUGGGGGAAACCCUGAUGCAGCAACGCCGCGUGAAGGAAAGAAGGGUU
rnacentral:rRNA from 1 species